rnacentral:rRNA from 1 species
UACGUAGGGUGCAAGCGUUGUCCGGAAUUAUUGGGCGUAAAGAGCUCGUAGGCGGCUUGUCACGUCGGAUGUGAAAUCCCGAGGCUCAAACCUCGGGCCUGCCAUUCGAUACGGGCUAGCUAGAGUACUGCAGGGGAGACUGGAAUUCCUGGUGUAGCGGUGAAAUGCGCAGAUAUCAGGAGGAACACCGGUGGCGAAGGCGGGUCUCUGGGCAGUAAACUGACG